GAAUAGGGCCUAAAUAUCCUAAAGGCAUCAGAUGCCAUCUGAUCUUGGAAGCUAAACAGGACCAGUCCUGGUUAGUACUUGGAUGGGAUACUGCCAAUGAAUACCCAUGCUCUAGGCU
rnacentral:rRNA from 1 species